rnacentral:lncRNA from 1 species
GUAAAAGACAGCUGCCUGACGCCCAGGGAGGCAGGUAAAGUGGCCAGAGUAUCCAGGAAAGAACCAGAGAAAGCAGCCUGAGCUGCCAGAAAGACUGAGCUGAGAUCAGGAGAUGUGAGUUUUAUUUGUAGCUCUAUCACUACAAAGAAUCUGACAGCUUUUUGGGGUCUCAGCUUUCUCUUCUGUAAAAUAGGGGUAGUUGCUUGACUAACUUUGGAAAUACAUGGAUAAAGAAAGAGAAAAUAAUUCCAUUGUGCUUAGUUUUGCUUUGUGUAUGACCGACUUCUUGCAACCUUAUACUUUCUGUUUUGUUUACAAUGAUUCUUCAGGGAGGUGAGAGACUGUGUAUCAGAAUCUCCAGGGGGAGUUUGUGCAAUUUGAAAACAAACAA